UUAUUAAUAGGACUUGAGCCCAUACAAUACAAGAUUGUUCAAGAAUGAAGAUGGGACCUAUGAACUAAGAUUAGCAUCAUCUCUUACUAAUGAUACUCCUCCUAGUCCAAAUGAUAAAGUAUCAUCAUUACUUGGACUCCAUCAGUUCCCUUCCCCUAGAACCAGCUCUAGUGUCUCCAUUAAGAUAUCAAGAGGAGACUAUCAUACACUAAUGAAGAGGAUGACUGAUGAACUGGAGGCAGCUGCUCAUCACGUUGCUAACAGGAACCAGAAGGAUAUGAUUGAUAGAUAUGUGUCUAGUUUUAGUAGAGGGUCAGUACCUGAUCAUGAAGAUGGAUCUCGUUAUUGGAUUAAAGAUAAAGGACCAGUUGUUGAAACGUAUAUUGGAUUCAUUGAGAGUUAUCGUGAUCCAUUUGGAUUAAGAGGAGAAUAUGAAGGUAUAGUACAUGUACGUGUAAUAUACCAUACCUUCGAGGCCUAUAUCAGUAGUAUGAGUAGUAUCAGUAGUAUGUCAGGGGUGAUAGUUCUCAAAGUAGCUAAUAUACAUAGAAAGGUACAUGGAACAAAUGCAGCAUACAGAUGUGAC